AAGAAGACAUUGUGGUUUUGUCUGGCCACAGCGUGUGGUUCUCUGAUCUUGGGGUGUGGAAGAAUCAGCACCAGACAAGGUUGCUGAUGGACAGUGGCAGAGAAAGAAAGACAACCCUGCCAGUUCUCAUGGACGUGGAAGACUGGACCAUCCUCUUCCAUGUCUCAUAUUGCCAAGUCAAAAUUAACAGCUGAACAAGGAUCUCAGACCAAACCCUACAUAAAAAGAAGCGAAAAUAAUAGGAACUUUAAAACUUAUGAUUUCUUGACACAUAUCUCAGCACUGAGAACAAGAGCAAGUCUUCCUUUUUCACAUAUUUCAUUUCAAUACAAG